rnacentral:rRNA from 1 species
AAAUUGAAGAGUUUGAUCAUGGCUCAGAUUGAACGCUGGCGGCAGGCCUAACACAUGCAAGUCGAACGGUAACAGGAAGAAGCUUGCUUCUUUGCUGACGAGUGGCGGACGGGUGAGUAAUGUCUGGGAAACUGCCUGAUGGAGGGGGAUAACUACUGGAAACGGUAGCUAAUACCGCAUAACGUCGCAAGACCAAAGAGGGGGACCUUCGGGCCUCUUGCCAUCGGAUGUGCCCAGAUGGGAUUAGCUUGUUGGUGGGGUAACGGCUCACCAAGGCGACGAUCCCUAGCUGGUCUGAGAGGAUGACCAGCCACACUGGAACUGAGACACGGUCCAGACUCCUACGGGAGGCAGCAGUGGGGAAUAUUGCACAAUGGGCGCAAGCCUGAUGCAGCCAUGCCGCGUGUAUGAAGAAGGCCUUCGGGUUGUAAAGUACUUUCAGCGGGGAGGAAGGGAGUAAAGUUAAUACCUUUGCUCAUUGACGUUACCCGCAGAAGAAGCACCGGCUAACUCCGUGCCAGCAGCCGCGGUAAUACGGAGGGUGCAAGCGUUAAUCGGAAUUACUGGGCGUAAAGCGCACGCAGGCGGUUUGUUAAGUCAGAUGUGAAAUCCCCGGGCUCAACCUGGGAACUGCAUCUGAUACUGGCAAGCUUGAGUCUCGUAGAGGGGGGUAGAAUUCCAGGUGUAGCGGUGAAAUGCGUAGAGAUCUGGAGGAAUACCGGUGGCGAAGGCGGCCCCCUGGACGAAGACUGACGCUCAGGUGCGAAAGCGUGGGGAGCAAACAGGAUUAGAUACCCUGGUAGUCCACGCCGUAAACGAUGUCGACUUGGAGGUUGUGCCCUUGAGGCGUGGCUUCCGGAGCUAACGCGUUAAGUCGACCGCCUGGGGAGUACGGCCGCAAGGUUAAAACUCAAAUGAAUUGACGGGGGCCCGCACAAGCGGUGGAGCAUGUGGUUUAAUUCGAUGCAACGCGAAGAACCUUACCUGGUCUUGACAUCCACGGAAGUUUUCAGAGAUGAGAAUGUGCCUUCGGGAACCGUGAGACAGGUGCUGCAUGGCUGUCGUCAGCUCGUGUUGUGAAAUGUUGGGUUAAGUCCCGCAACGAGCGCAACCCUUAUCCUUUGUUGCCAGCGGUCCGGCCGGGAACUCAAAGGAGACUGCCAGUGAUAAACUGGAGGAAGGUGGGGAUGACGUCAAGUCAUCAUGGCCCUUACGACCAGGGCUACACACGUGCUACAAUGGCGCAUACAAAGAGAAGCGACCUCGCGAGAGCAAGCGGACCUCAUAAAGUGCGUCGUAGUCCGGAUUGAGUCUGCAACUCGACUCCAUGAAGUCGGAAUCGCUAGUAAUCGUGGAUCAGAAUGCCACGGUGAAUACGUUCCCGGGCCUUGUACACACCGCCCGUCACACCAUGGGAGUGGGUUGCAAAAGAAGUAGGUAGCUUAACCUUCGGGAGGGCGCUUACCACUUUGUGAUUCAUGACUGGGGUGAAGUCGUAACAAGGUAACCGUAGGGGAACCUGCGGUUGGAUCACCUCCUUA